rnacentral:rRNA from 1 species
GUGAGGAAUUUUCCACAAUGGGCGAAAGCCUGACGGAGCAAUGCCGCGUGAAGGAUGAAGGCCUAUGGGUUGUAAACUUCUUUUCUCAGAAAAGAAUUAUGACGGUAUCUGAGGAAUAAGCAUCGGCUAACUCUGUGCCAGCAGCCGCGGUAAGACAGAGGAUGCAAGCGUUAUCCGGAAUGAUUGGGCGUAAAGCGUCUGUAGGUUGUUUAAAAAGUAUUCUGUCAAAGAUUAGGGCUUAACCCUAGAUAGGCAGAAUAAACUUUUAAGCUAGAGUUUGGUAGAGGCAGAGGGAAUUCCCGGUGGAGCGGUGAAAUGCGUAGAUAUCGGGAGGAACACCAAAGGCGAAGGCACUCUGCUGGGCCAAUACUAACACUGAGAGACGAAAGCGAGGGGAGCAAAUGGGAUUAGAUACCCGGGUAGUCC